rnacentral:rRNA from 1 species
UUGUCUCAAAGAUUAAGCCAUGCAUGUCUCAGUACGAGCCAAAUUAAGGUGAAACCGCGAAAGGCUCAUUAAAUCAGUUAUGGUUCCUUAGAUCGUACCCACAAUUACUCGGAUAACUGUGGUAAUUCUAGAGCUAAUACGUGCAAACAGAGUUCCGACCGGAGACGGGAGGAGCGCUUUUAUUAGAUCAAAACCGAUCGGCGGCGGGGGGGCUUCGCGCCACCGUCGUCGUACAACUUGGUGACUCUGAAUAACUUUCGGCCGAUCGCACGGUCUCGCACCGGCGACGCGUCUUUCAAAUGUCUGCCUUAUCAACUGUCGAUGGUAGGUUCCGCGCCUACCAUGGUCGUAACGGGUAACGGGGAAUCAGGGUUCGAUUCCGGAGAGGGAGCCUGAGAAACGGCUACCACAUCCAAGGAAGGCAGCAGGCGCGCAAAUUACCCACUCCCGGCACGGGGAGGUAGUGACGAAAAAUAACGAUACGGGACUCAUCCGAGGCCCCGUAAUCGGAAUGAGUACACUCUAAACCCUUUAACGAGGAUCAAUUGGAGGGCAAGUCUGGUGCCAGCAGCCGCGGUAAUUCCAGCUCCAAUAGCGUAUAUUAAAGUUGUUGCGGUUAAAAAGCUCGUAGUCGAAUUUGUGUCUCGCGCCGCCGGUUCAUCGUCCGCGGUGUCAACUGGCGUGCCGCGAGACGUCCUGCCGGUGGGCUCCGCUUGGCGGAGGCCCGCGUCGUAACCGCGUUCGCGCGCGGGGAGGCGCGUUGCGCGCGGGCCUCCCGCGCCCGUCUCAAUCCCGCCGCGGUGCUCUUCGUUGAGUGUCGAGGCGGGCCGGCACGUUUACUUUGAACAAAUUAGAGUGCUUAAAGCAGGCCGAAAAUUCGCCCGAAUAUCGUGUGCAUGGAAUAAUGGAAUAGGACCUCGGUUCUAUUUUGUUGGUUUUCGGAACCCCGAGGUAAUGAUUAAUAGGAACGGAUGGGGGCAUUCGUAUUGCGACGUUAGAGGUGAAAUUCUUGGACCGUCGCAAGACGAACGGAAGCGAAAGCAUUUGCCAAAAACGUUUUCAUUGAUCAAGAACGAAAGUUAGAGGUUCGAAGGCGAUCAGAUACCGCCCUAGUUCUAACCUUAAACUAUGCCGGCCGGCGAUCCGCCGACGUUCCUCCGAUGACUCGGCGGGCAGCCUACGGGAAACCAAAGCUUUCGGGUUCCGGGGGAAGUAUGGUUGCAAAGCUGAAACUUAAAGGAAUUGACGGAAGGGCACCACCAGGAGUGGAGCCUGCGGCUUAAUUUGACUCAACACGGGAAACCUCACCAGGCCCGGACACCGGAAGGAUUGACAGAUUGAGAGCUCUUUCUUGAUUCGGUGGGUGGUGGUGCAUGGCCGUUCUUAGUUGGUGGAGCGAUUUGUCUGGUUAAUUCCGAUAACGAACGAGACUCUAGCCUGCUAACUAGGCGCCGUUUUCGACAUCGCAAAGGCCCGCCGGCGUAUCGUCGCGGCGUCGUCGUCGUUUCGGCGGCGGCACGCGCGGUCGUCGCGCGCGGUUUUUACUGUCGGCGUACGUACAAAAUCUUCUUAGAGGGACAGGCGGCAUAUAGCCGCACGAGAUUGAGCAAUAACAGGUCUGUGAUGCCCUUAGAUGUUCUGGGCCGCACGCGCGCUACACUGAAGGAAUCAGCGUGUCCUCCCUGGCCGAGCGGUCCGGGUAACCCGCUGAACCUCCUUCGUGCUAGGGAUCGGGGCUUGCAAUUUUUCCCCGUGAACGAGGAAUUCCCAGUAAGCGCGAGUCAUAAGCUCGCGUUGAUUACGUCCCUGCCCUUUGUACACACCGCCCGUCGCUACUACCGAUUGAAUGAUUUAGUGAGGUCUUCGGACCGAUGCGCGGUGGCGUUUCGGCGUCGUCGAUGCGUCCGGGAAGAUGACCAAACUUGAUCAUUU